UACAGAGGUGGCGAACGUUGUUCGGAUUUACUGGGCGUAAAGGGUGCGUAGGUGGACGGGUAUGUUGGAUGUGAAAUCCCACGGCCUAACCGUGGAAUUGCAUUCAAAACUGCAAGUCUGGAGCGUAGAAGGGGAGAGCGGAAUUCUUGGUGUAGCGGUGAAAUGCGUUGAUAUCAAGAAGAACACCGGUGGCGAAGGCGGCUCUCUGGUCUACGUCUGACACUGAGGCACGAGAGCUAGGGGAGCAAACAGG
rnacentral:rRNA from 1 species